rnacentral:lncRNA from 1 species
CAACUUAAACAAGCUUGAUACAUUUCUUUUCAUUUCUUUAAAACCCUUAAGCUAGACUGUCACAGGGUACAACUAUCUCGGUCUCUGGGGUAGGACGCUAUCUGCAGAACUACGCCCUUGCCUUGCGCCGCCGCGCCGCACACGUGUGUACCUGUACCUGUACCCCCAAAACAGCAACACGGGGGUGAGACUAUUGUCCAUAGUCCUCAGUGGGUUUAGCCACCCAAGAGAACAAGCUCAGCCAACAGGUCUAACGAGGCACUGCAACAUGUUAGAUCAACAAUAUACAACAGAUAUAUAUUCAAUUGAAAUACAUGUCCUGCCUCACAAAAUGCAAUAUGCAAUACCUGUAAUCAUGCAAGUAGGUUACUUUAACACUACUUAUGUUCUUAAUCAUUCAUUGUUCUUUGCCAUUUAACGCUUACUUUUAGCUCUUAGCUAUUCUUUAUCAUUUAGCUAUUCUUUACUUGUAACCUUUCGUUACAUGUUCUUUAUUCUCAACAUUCUCAAACCAUGCUAUAUUUUAACCUUUGGCAUUCUAUUCUAAGGUCACUUUACCUUAGUCAACAAGCCACCCGACUCGAUCUUGAGUCAAUCAAUCGGGGAUAGUCCGCGCACUGUCUAGCUCGAGGUGAAGGAACUCUCACAUGCACCUCAGCUGGCAAGAGCUCACCGUACUCCUGUCCUAACCGUCUGGCGGCGAACGAAUCGCACCUCACCCAACAACGGCCUAGGUUCAAUGACUUAGUCACCCGGCGGCGAACUCGUCGCACACACGCCACGACAGUGGUUCAGUCAACAGGCGGUAGGAUCCACAAACUGGCUAUCCAUACGGCGGCGAACUCGUCGCACAAACGCCACGACGAUGGCUCUUUAGCCCUUGGGCGGCGAAAUCGUCGCACGCACUCGACACCACUUUGGGUGUAGCAGCAAGCAGCGGGAUUCCGGAAUCCAUAUCACAUUAACCAAGGGUUGGCCUUAACCCUAUGGAGCUGACCUCUCUAGGUCUAAACCUUUAUCUCCUAGGUCCAAUUGACUCUAGGUUUAACAUCCUUUAUACAACCUAAGUUAUUACUUUAGGUUUAUUGCUUUCACACUCUUAACCUAGGUUUAUUACACUAGGAUCAUCAUUCUUUUCCAAUCUAGGUUCACUUAACUCUAGGUUAAGCAGCUUUCAUUCCACAACCUAUGUUCUUUACAUUAGGUUUAACAUCACUCUUCUUUAACCUAUGUUCUUUACAUUAGGUUCAACAUCACAUUUGUUUAACCUAUGUCCUCGACACUAGGUUUAAUGCCACUCGAUCUAUAGGUUUAUUCAUGUCCACCUAUAUAUAUUCCUUACUUAGCAUUCUCAACAUGUACUUGCAUGUACUAUUUUCAUACCAUGCUUAUCAUCUAUACCUUAGCAUAGCAUCAUUUUCUUUAAUCACUCUAGGGUUCUCAACCUAGAUUUUCAUGCACAUUUUAAUCUCAUAAUGUCAACAUGUAUUCUAACCAUUAUGCUCACAUGCAUUCAUAUUGUUAUGUAGCAUUAUACAACUUGUUCAUCAUGCAUUCUAUAUCUCAUCUUAACUUAUGUUAUCAACAUGCAUUUCAUCUAUGCAUCAUAUUUACAUGCAUCCUUUUAAUUUACAUGCAUAUAUACAUAUAGUCUUCUAUAUGCAUCUACUUUAGCAUUACAUCAUAUCAUGCAUUCUAGCAUUAUGCAACUUGCUCACUAUGCAUUUCUAUUUAGCAUUUAUAUUCACAUGCAUUGUUUAACACUUAGAUGCAUCAACACGAAUUCUUAAUUCGCUUAGACAUAAAGGCGACCUAGUCGCUUCGGUAAACCAACCCACCUUAACACGCGUUCCGAUUGAUCGUCGACACUUGCAAUCGGCCUCCCGCGGCAACCGUUGCCCGGUUUGGCCCGAACUCUUGCGCGACUUAGCGAACGACCUCCAAAUCGCGAUCCGUCUUUUCCGGAAGUUAUUCCUUGACUCCAAGGUGCUCCAGUUCCGAUCUCAUGAUUUUUAGACCUUUAUUCCGCGUGCUGCGGCUAUCUGUACCAAAACCGACCGUUUCGUCAAUAACUUCGCGUACGCUCGUCGGAUUGUCGAACCGAGCGCACCAACGCGUUCGUUAGGUCCCCAAUUAGGUUUCCAAGCACUCAAAAUAGAUCAAAACCCCACAUUAGCAAAAUCCCCAUUUGGGAUGCCCUAAUGCAACAUAGGCUUAAUACCUCGAAUUUGAUCUAUAAAACAAGCAAAAGAAAGCUUGUUUAUCAUCUAGAAGCUCAUCUAGGAGCAUUCGAACUCAUUCUAGGGUGUUUAAAGCAAACCCUAGAAAUCCACCAUUAGAGCCUCAUGUAGAAAACCAUGGAUUUCAUGGUGUCCUACGCUUCUACAAGGUUCUAAACACAUUAGAAGCUCCAAAACCCUAAGUUCUAGGGUUCAAAUCCCAUUCUACCACAAUCUACCAUUAGAGAGCUUGGGAGCUUACCUCUCAAAGAGCUCCAAAUGAGGAAGAAGAUGGAGAUGAAGAUGAGGGAGGGGAUCUUCUACUUGGUCCUCACCAUCUUCUCCUUUUCCUUCUCUUUUUCUUCUUCUCUUUUUCUUUUCCUCUUCUCUUUCUUCUUCUUCGGUUUGCACGAACAGAGAGAGAGAGAGAGGGCUGUGGGAGUGGGAGAGAGAGAGGAAAUACUCUCUCUAAUAACCCCUCAACAUGUAUUGUAACAAUAUCCACUUAGCCCCUCCAUGUUUUCUGUUUUUCCAACUUAACCCACUGAUCUGGGUCCCUUGUACCGGUACACGGGCUCUUGUACCGGUACAAGGCCCGACAGACAGCCAAAACCGAGAGCUGGCUCGCUCGGUUUCGCGGAUUUUGUACCGGUACAAGGCCCCCUUGUACCGGUACAGCGCCGUAGCACUGUUCCGUGAUGGUUGUACCGGUACAGCCAUCACUCUUGUACCUGUACAACAGCCCCAGAAUGCUGUUUUUCGAUUCGUUUCUAUUCGAUUUCGCACCGAUCAAUAUCAAAACCCUUCCAACUCUUUUAGAGCUUACUUUUAACCCUUCCAACAGUGUUGGAACAUUAAUUGAUCGCGUCCAACCAAUCCUCUUGAGUACUUUAGUCAAUUUGGCUAAAGUCCACAAUAUUUCGCCGAGAUCUCGGGGGUUACAUUCUCCCCUCCUUAAAAGAAUUUCGUCCGCGAAAUUCAAACCACAUCAACACUCGAUCUAUCGAGUUAUCAAGGGUAUCAACAUACCUUUCCACCCCAAUUUUCGACCACCGACAUUACACAUCAACCAUAUCAUUGGUGCAUCGGCCAAUCGCGAGUGCUUCAAUCUCAAUCAAAUCCUUGCUCUAUCACGAGACAGCGCGUCUCAAUCUCGAUCCUUUUGAGAGUAAUAUCUACACUCCAAUCCUCACGUGGCUACCGAUCAUUCAAGUGCCUCCUAGAGGCCACUUAACUUUACCUUUAUCCUUGGGUACCAUAAGCCACAAUCAAUCUCACACGAACCCUCUGUUCGCAACUCGAGCUUAGGCUCAUUCACGGAGUCAUUGGUUGCACCGACCAUCAGUUUCUACGGGUGGACCAACAGUCCCCCACCCUACUAGUAGGCCUACUGACUAAACUCGUCUCAACGACGCCUAGCGUCUCUCGCUCGCAAGCGUAGACCCAAUCAUCAUUGGGCGACAUUCUCAUUGGAGAACUCGCACACACUCCAACCAGGAGCUAUCAAGACCCCAAUCCAUAUCAAAUCCUUGGGUCGGGUCACUACACACUCGGUGUAUUAUCAAUCUCGCACUCUAACACGUGACAUUCCACGUACUCGGGUCUAAGCUCGGACUACCGUCCUGACCAAAACUCUCGCCCUACCAAUAGGUACCGGGCCGCUGUCUCUCACAGCUGACUGCGCCUGCCCACUGGGCCCAGGCUCCACAGUCCACAAGUGGUCCAGGCACGAGUCGUCCCCAAGCACUACCCACCAACGUCGUCCUACACGACAUGCUCUACAGAGCUUCAAGUACCACUAUCGGCUCCUAUGCACCUAGUGCGAGCCACCAGCCCCACGAGCGAUCCAUGGCCCGCUUCACACUUAGCCCUGCUAAAGUGCUACUGCCAACUCACUCAACUGGCUGAAUCGAAACCGCACCUCACGAGUAAUUAUACUCGAGCGCUCUACGCCUCUACAGCGUCUAACACGAAAUCCAGCAUCAGGCUGCUUGCCUAUGCACGUCCACUACACGAGCACAACUCGUUUGCCUCAACUUCGAGGUAUUUCUAGGCCAACGGGCCCUCGUCCGUCACUACACGGCUACUCUCACCUCAGUGAUUCUACUUUCACCGUCCGCUCUACCAGAACACAUUCUCAACUCCCAAGUCUUUCGGGUAUCCUCAACAUCAAGGCUCAACUCUCACAAUUUCCAAUCCAUUAUUUCGAGAGUCACUUACUAGAUCAUGUUCUCCACGAGCCUCAUUCCUUAUCGGAGAAUCAUCACUAGCCAUUAGCUAGCACCACUUGGCUUUCUACCAGCACCAACAGGUGCUACAUUCUCACGUUGCAAGCACGUUCGGGCUUCUACCUCUACCCGCCCCAACGGUCCCUACUAUGCAAUGUAUAAAUAGUAGCAACAGACCAGCAACAAAUGCAUGCUAUGCAUCAACUUGAGAUUAGCAAAAGCAUAUGUUUGCUUAAUUAACUCAUACCUGCCACGAGGUCAUCGGCAACGGCAGGCUCCGCAACUCGGGUCGCUUAUCCAAGCCCACUUGGCGCUCGUCGCGAACCCUCUGGUUGCAUCAUCCUCAACGGCCGCUCCCCCGACCAUGCCGCAGGUGGCUCACCUGCCGGCUGUCCCAGAGAGGAAUGGACCGUCGCUAGCGUCAAGGCCCGGCUAUCACCCUGCGGAUACUCGUCCCGCACAUGACCCGGCAGCCCACACUUGAAGCACUUGCCCUCGCGCUGCUCACACUGCUGUGGAAAAUGAGGGCCUCCACAAAUAGCACAUUUCGCCGAGGACCGAGUACGGUAUGUCCCCGGAGCUCGGGAUCGCGAGUGCGAAGUCCUUUGGGAACUCGAUUGAUCACUGGAUCCACCUGUCGGUCGUCCUUUCCCUUUUUCCUUGUAAUACGACUCGCGCUCUUCACGCAUAAACGCGUUGCCCUGUUCUAUCCACAAAGCCCGAUCCAGAACUUCAGCAAAAGUCUGCAACCUGUGUACAAGCACAGCCUUGUAAAGGCCUGGCCGCAGUCCACGCACAAAGCAGUCAGCCUUGUCCUUGUCAUCCCGUACCACGUUCGGGAUACAAUGCACGAUACGGGAGAAUUCCCGCUCGUAUUGCCUGACCGUGCGACUUCCUUGCCGCAGCUUAAGAAACCUCUCCUGAAGUUUCCGCUGCUCGCUAUCGGCGAAAUAAGUAGAGAACAACAUUCCCCGAAACUCUUCCCAAGUCAUAGGAGGGAGACUAGGCAGUCGAUCUCGCUUGACGCCUCUCCACCACACCUUCGCCGUUUGUUUCAGGCAAUGCGCGGCUAGGUUCACUUUGUCUCGCUCCAGCGUGUACAGAUCCUCAAAGAGUGUUUCCAUGGAAUCGAUCCACAUUUCAACGACCCACGGAUCUGCAUCUUCACCAUCAAAAGUAGGCGGAUCAAACUUCUUGAAAGUCAUGAGGGCCGCUAAAGCUCGCUCCCUCUCCGCCGCAACCUCUGGGCCAACAGGAGUCGGAUCGCCCAACCCCGACGGAAACAGCUCCGCCGCAACUCCCGGCUGUCCUCGACCAGCCGCAGCUGGUGCUGCCACCAGCCGAUCCACAGUCUCUUGGAGUCGUUCCAUUCGCUCCUCUUGGCGCAUAGCAGCCUCCUGCUGCCGCUGCACCACAUCAGCUUGUUGCCGCAUCACUCCAAUGAGUGUGGCCAACUGAUCACGAAGCUCUGAGUCUCCGCUCGCGUUGAUUUGCUCAGGGACGCCACUUGUCCCCUCCCGCGCCGAUCUGGACAAAGAUCGCCUACGCGGUGCCAUCGUUUCCUGAAACACGAUAACUCGAUUAGCUCUCGACCAACCUGGGUCGAACACGAGACCACUAACACCGGCUCAAAAGCCAAUCAGGCGAAAGUCAAACAAGGACGUCUAUUCUCGUCACUCGGCUUUAUGUUGUGCGCGCCCAACAUAAACACACUUGGUCGAGAAUAAACCAUACCUUGAGUCUGCCUCUAAAAUCCGUCUUAGAGGUUAUAACACAACCCAAUCCAUUACCUUUCGCCACAACUCACAAGUCCUCGUCUCUCACGAGCCUUAUUCUCCUAUGGUUUCACUAUCCUAGGGUCUCCUAGGUCUGUCUAAACCAUUUUUCCCAUUUUCUACUUUAUGCUCUGAUACCACAAACUGUCACGACCCGCGACCACCCGCCUAUUUGGCCGAGGUCCCGGCGCCGCCGACAUCGCCGAAUGGACAGGGUUUUCCCUGUACUACGGACAGAGUCUCCCCUGUACAUUCAAGGCAUCGCAAUCCAAACAGGUACAAAGGUUCCAACCAGGAACAGAUAUAAAUCAAACAGAUUGCAGAUGGAGGGUAUCAUACAACAUAAACACACCUUAAAGUAUUACAUUCAUUCUCAUUCAUAGUUUUUACAUCACAAUUACCAUUCCUUUAAUCCAAAUGCAAUCUAAAUUAUUACAACUUAAACAAGCUUGAUACAUUUCUUUUCAUUUCUUUAAAACCCUUAAGCUAGACUGUCACAGGGUACAACUAUCUCGGUCUCUGGGGUAGGACGCUAUCUGCAGAACUACGCCCUUGCCUUGCGCCGCCGCGCCGCACACGUGUGUACCUGUACCUGUACCCCCAAAACAGCAACACGGGGGUGAGACUAUUGUCCAUAGUCCUCAGUGGGUUUAGCCACCCAAGAGAACAAGCUCAGCCAACAGGUCUAACGAGGCACUGAAACAUGUUAGUUCAACAAUAUACAACAGAUAUAUAUUCAAUUAAAAUACAUGCCCUGCCUCACGAAAUGCAAUAUGCAAUAUCUGGAAUCAUGCAAGUAGGUUACUUUAACACUACAUAUGUUCUUAAUCAUUCUUUACUCUUUGCCAUUUAAUGACUUUCUUGAGCUAUUAGCUAUUCUUUAUUCGUAGCUUUUCUUUACUUGUUCUCUGUUCCUUAGCUAUUCAUUAUGCUUAACAUUCUUGAACCAUGCUAUAUCUUAGCUUUUAGCAUUCUACUCUAAGGUCACUUUACCUUAGUCAACAAAGCCACCCGACUCGGUCUUGAGUCAAUCAAUCGCGGAUAGUCCGCGCACUGUCUAGCUCGAGGUGAAGGAACUCUCACAUGCACCUCAGCUGGCAACAGCUCACCGUACUCCUGUCCUAGCCGUCUGGCGGCGAACGAAUCGCACCUCACCCAACAACGGCCUAGGUUCAAUGACUUAGUCACCCGGCGGCGAAAUCGUCGCACACAC